GACGAACGCUGGCGGCGUGCUUAACACAUGCAAGUCGAACGAUGAAGCCUAGCUUGCUAGGUGGAUUAGUGGCGAACGGGUGAGUAAUACGUGAGUAACCUACCUUUAACUCUGGGAUAAGCCCGGGAAACUGGGUCUAAUACCGGAUACGACCAAUCUCCGCAUGGGGUGUUGGUGGAAAGCGUUAUGUAGUGGUUAUAGAUGGGCUCACGGCCUAUCAGCUUGUUGGUGAGGUAACGGCUCACCAAGGCGACGACGGGUAGCCGGCCUGAGAGGGUGACCGGCCACACUGAGACUGAGACACGGCCCAGACUCCUACGGGAGGCAGCAGUGGGGAAUAUUGCACAAUGGGCGCAAGACUGAUGCAGCGACGCCGCGUGAGGGAUGACAGCCUUCGGGUUGUAAACCUCUGUUAGCACGGAAGAAGACAGAUUGACCGCACCUGCAGAGAAAGCGCCGGCUAACUACGUGCCAGCAGCCGCGGUAAUACGUAGGGCGCGAGCGUUGUCCGGAAUUAUUGGGCGUAAAGAGCUUGUAAGAGGUUUGUCGCGUCUGCUGUGAAGGCCGGGGCUUGACUCCGUGUAUUGCAGUGGGUACGGGCAGACUAGAGUGCAGUAGGGGAGACUGGAAUUCCUGGUGUAGCGGUGGAAUGCGCAGAUAUCAGGAGGAACACCGAUGGCGAAGGCAGGUCUCUGGGCUGUAACUGACGCUGAGAAGCGAAAGCAUGGGGAGCGAACAGGAUUAGAUACCCUGGUAGUCCAUGCCGUAAACGUUGGGCACUAGGUGUGGGGAACAUUCCACGUUUUCCGCGCCGUAGCUAACGCAUUAAGUGCCCCGCCUGGGGAGUACGGCCGCAAGGCUAAAACUCAAAGAAAUUGACGGGGGCCCGCACAAGCGGCGGAGCAUGCGGAUUAAUUCGAUGCAACGCGAAGAACCUUACCAAGGCUUGACAUAUACUGGACCGCAUCAGAGAUGGUGUUUCCCUUCGGGGCUGGUAUACAGGUGGUGCAUGGUUGUCGUCAGCUCGUGUCGUGAGAUGUUGGGUUAAGUCCCGCAACGAGCGCAACCCUCGUUCUAUGUUGCCAGCACGUAAUGGUGGGGACUCAUAGGAGACUGCCGGGGUCAACUCGGAGGAAGGUGGGGAUGACGUCAAAUCAUCAUGCCCCUUAUGUCUUGGGCUUCACGCAUGCUACAAUGGCCGGUACAGAGGGUUGCGAUACUGUGAGGUGGAGCUAAUCCCUAAAAGCCGGUCUCAGUUCGGAUUGGGGUCUGCAACUCGACCCCAUGAAGUCGGAGUCGCUAGUAAUCGCAGAUCAGCAACGCUGCGGUGAAUACGUUCCCGGGCCU
rnacentral:rRNA from 1 species